ensembl:lncRNA
CUCGAAGUCUCUGUUUUCCAUAUAGCAAGACCAGAAUGCUAGCAACUUUGCAGAAAAGAGCUGGCUUUUCGUUUCAGAAGAUGUUAGCUGAUGGACUGAAGUGGUGUGAGUUAAUUGUGGAUGAUUGUGAUGUUUUUAUCAGCUGUUUGGACUCUCAUUCUGAAGGAAACCGUUCACUGCAGAGGAUACAUUGGUGAGCAAGUGAUGCAAUGCUACUUUUCUCCAAAUUUAGACUUCAUUACUCAUUUUACCUACAGAAAUGAAUGAGUAACAGUGAUUUAUCUUCUUCCAAAGUGGAUGGGGCCUCCUUUGCUGACUGCAUUGAUGACAGAGUGUUUACAGUCUUCAAAACAUACAUAUGACUUAUGUAUUAGUUUGUCUUAUUAAUUUACUUAUUCAUUUUAAGUUACAAGAAAAUAUUUGUAUCACCCGCAUUUCUUAUAAUGUGUAGAGAACGAUGGACACCAUUGACGCUAGUUUAUGUAAUGAGACAGGAUUUAUUUUUGUCUUGGAAUUCCUGCAUUAAUUCUUGAAAUUUUCUGGGUUUAUUUUAAGAUGGGACUAUUUUAGGUCAUCCAGAUUCAUCUGACGAGUGACAGCUCAGCAUCAGAAUCAACAUGUGAGAAAUGCGCUCACACUGAACCCAUGACUGUUCUUUAUAAAUGGGAACAAAAAGCGCAUUGAGAAGGCAGUAUCAGGGUGAUCUCUGUUACCACUGCCUGAACAAAUUUCAAUAAAUUACUGAUUAGGAAAGCUGAAAAACAAGGGACGUAUCUUUAAUUAUAUAUACUUAUAUGCAUGACACUAAAUGUUAAUUAUGAUUAUGGUUCUCAACAGGCUGUCAGCUAAUGAGAAACUUGUGAUGGCAGUCACAAGUUUGUUGUUUUGAAGUCAUCAUGGAUGCAUAAUUCCUUUUAGAGUUUCAUUCCUUGGAAAAACUCCCCCAAAUCAACCACUGUGUCUGAUGAAUAUUUGGAUAUUCUUUUUAAUGUAACUAAGAUUGUGUUAAACAAGUUUCCUUGUGACAAAUGAUUUUUGGGCCCUUCUCUUUGUAUGUUUGGUGUGCAGAAAGUUUUUUGAUGUUGUCCCGUGUUCUUCUGCUUGGCAUCAUACUUUUUUCCAGCUUGAUGACUUUAUGUUUUCAUAUGCUGCUACACAGAACAUCUUCCAUUCAGAGAUGGCAUGCUAUAUGGUCCUGUUUAUAUU